rnacentral:misc_RNA from 1 species
GUUAAUUAUAAAGAGGAGAGCUAUAUGGAUUCUAUCACUGGCUUACUGCAUUAAUGCAGUUAUUCUGGGAAAUAAAGUUUAUAACAUCAAAUGAUCUCUGGCAAUAGCAAUGUUAGCUGCAGAAAUAGCAAGUCCUCUUAUUUUUCUUUGACAAGAAACAUCUACCUUGUUUCUGUUCUGUUCUUUUAUUUGAAAAAAAAAAAAAAUGUUUGCCUCACUUUCGAGCAAGGAUUCUGAAUAAUUGUCAAGGACAAGCAACAUGAUCGCAUCAUAACCUCACACUCACACGUUACCUCCUUCCUUGCAUCCUUUCUCUGAAAGCUGUCAUGAAAAAGGCUGUAGGAUUUAGAAUCUUCACUACCCUGCCCAGAACAAAGCCAUUGUAGAGGCAGUGGCUCCUCCUGAGUCCAUACCCAUGACAAAUGAAAACUGAAAAGCACGUGCCUAAGUUGAUUAAUUCUCCGGCAAAACAGCACCAUCUUCUAAAGAAACAGAACACACAUCACAACCAAUUCCAUAUUGUCUACAAAACAAUGUAAAUAACCUUAAAUAGUAAUCCUCCACCUCGGGGAUUGAAAAUGCUGGGGUAAAACAAUCAUCACUGCAAACUUGGAGCGUUUAGUUGUAACACUGAUUAACCUCUCUUACAAGCUUAUCCAUAAAUUGGCAUUUCUUGUCAAAUCCCCAGCCAGGGUUGCUCUGCAUUGAAAAAUUUUGUGCAAGAUAAAUUUUCCACAGAGAAUCUCAAACUCACAGCAUAAGUAUUGCAUCUUAGAAAAUCUUCACCAAUUUUUAACUUUGAUAGAAUUUGUUUAAAUCAUAUAUAGGUCCAUUACUACAUUUGGAUAUAUGAGAAUUUGAAAUUGUGCAUUUGCAUUAGGCAUCAUGUUGCUGUUUUUAUGACUUCUCAUUCAAAAUACAAUCCAAAUUCAAUUUUUUCAAAUACAGAAAAAUCCAAAUGAACCCUAGGAUAAAAUACAAAUCCACACCCAUAUCAUACAUCCACACGUUGCAGCACAAAGCAUUCAGACUAGCAGUUAAUCAGAUAUGGUGAAUUAUGAAAUCAAGUGUUAUUCACAUUAGCCCCAAACACGUUAAACAAAUAAUUUGAUCUAUCUUCGGGAUCCAAUAUAUCUAAACUAAAAUUUCAAGGCUUUCAUUAAGUCUGUGACAAUUGCUUAAUACAUGCAGCAAAGUGACAAGGUAUGGUGAAUUAUGAAAUCUGUCUCAAAGAACUAUACAAUGCCUUUGAAGAAGCAGGUUUAUUGAAGGUUUUGCAAAAUAUGCUCAUGCAUUGCUAUGUCAUUGUCACUUAAGCCCAAAUAAUAGAAUGAAACAACGAGACAUGCACAGGGUAAAAUCCAACCUGAAGAGAAAGAACUGCAUGAUCAGCAAACUGCUUUACAGAAGAAGGUGCACUUGCAGGAAUAGUUUUAGCCACUCUUUCUAACUCUUCUUGUUGUCUCUUUGCUGUAACCCUAUCAGGUCCACUGUAAUAAUCAACUAUCUCUUUCAAUAAUGGGACAUUCUUCAUUGUUUCUUCAAUUACCUCCUCCCAUUCUUCUUGACUUUGGAUUCCUUCAUAUGCCAUUAUGAACGGCUUCACCUUCUCCAGCACAUCCCGGAGAGGCAUAGGCGGCUUCUCAUCAAUAUCUGGGUUUUGAUCAAACUCCCCCAUCAAGUACUCAGGCUCAAACUCAAUCAUAUAAUUCGUAUGCAAGGCAUCCAAAUAGGCAUCUUCCAUAGGCGAAGGCAGUAUUCUCCCACUCAUCUCUUCAAACCCUUCAGUCAAUUUGUUCAUGUUCUCAACACCAACCCUUUUCGACAGUUUCUCCCCAUCAGCAUUGUCCCCCAAGAAGAGCCCUGCUGCGUACCCUUCCUCCGAAUCUUCCAUCCUCUCUCUUUGCUCCAAACGCCCCCUCCCCCUUCCCCUACCUCUACCUCUUCCUCUACCUCUACCUCUACCCCCACCCAUUCCCCCUCGCACCUGCAAAGGCUCAACUUCCCUGUCUCUUACAUCGCCCUUAGGCUGGACCCGGCCCUGAGCCGGCUCAGCUUCUUCUCCAAUGGUCCUGGGCUUAGGUGUGCGACGUAACCGGAGAUGCCGGUUCUCUUCCUUCUGCGGAGUAGACACGGCAGGCUGAUCCGGUUUCCCCCGACCAACGCCAGAUAGUGCGGAUUGUAUGCUGGAUGGCAGAUUUGGCUCUUCUGACUGAGUGAACUGCGCCUUAUUAGGAGGUACUGACUGAGUGAACUGCGUCUUAGGAGGUACUGACUCGCGCUGUGACUCAUUGGGUCUACUCAGUUCUGGUUCGAUAUUGCCUCUGCCUCGGCCACGUCCCGAGCCGGAUUGAGAGGCUUUUAACGACGAUAUGAAGGAAGAAAAGGCAGGGAGAAUUGGAGAAGAAGGAAUAGGUAUGCCACGGCCAUGACCAAAUCCACCUGGCGUUAGUUCUGGGGAGUCAGGUUUAGAAUCAUCAGAGUCAGGCUUGCCCGGUGUUCUUGCACUGAAAUCGAACUGACCAGGACCGCCACCACCGCCGCGGCCACGGCCGCGACCGGAGGAGCCUGAGGAAGUGGAGAAAGGAGAAGAUGACACAAAAAAGGCGCGUCCAGUGGAGGGAUUAAAGAUUACAUUUGAGAAUCGUCUUCCAACCGGGUUUCCUCUCAUUUGGAUCGACGUUCUCUGAAGUAAUGUGAAGAGAAGACUGUUUUCCGCCAGAGGAAUAUGACUUUUGGCCAAGGCAAGGGAUAGAUAGGGUUUUGGAUUUUGUUGGAAAUAAAGCAACGUCGUUUUUGGUAAAAAAUAGUUUACUCCUUAGCUA